CCUUGCUGAUUUUGGACUUCCCUUCUUGCAAAGCCCAGCAUGGAUGCUCAGCCUGUGGUCAUGACUGCAGGCUCUCUUUCUUACAUCACUCAGACUGAUUUUCCAGUCCCACUGAAAAAGUUUUAUCGGGGUGAACCUCUGGCAUUGGGGGUGCAAAGCAUGGUGGCCAUGAAUGUGUUAAGUACUGUAGCAGCUGGUUUGGGCCUGGCGUCCCUGUUUGCCACCUUCGGUAUACCCUAUCUAUUCAAUUUGUCUAGCCACUGCCAUAAUUUUAAAGAAGAAAUUGAGAAAAAGUGUGAUGCAAACCAGAAUAUCGGCAUAGGAAUACUGACUAUUCUUACUCUGUUCACCGCCCUGGAGUUUUGCAUCACCAUCUCAGUUGCGUCUUUUGGAUGUAAGAUGCUUUGCCGAGAUACCUUCCCUGAACAAGUUGUGGUCAUUUAUCAGAAUGUGUCUCCUGCCAGUGCCGAACAAGUUCCUCCCCUCGACUGUAAACAGGCAGCAAUUCAAUCCUGAAUUGCUUUUUUUUCAUUGCAGCUAUUCUGGAGUGCAUUCACCUCCUGCAUCUUGAAGACUUUUUUUUUUAAGGAAUUGCAUGGAAGUUUUUAAACAGUGGAGCAUAAAGGCUUUUUAAUGGACUAAGCAAAAAGCACCAGACGCAAAAGAUCAUGUGAAUGUUCUUUGUUGCUGGUUAAAAUAUCUCUUUAUGAGUUGGUUGGCACUUUGCACCACGUUAUGGUUUGCCGUUGG
rnacentral:lncRNA from 1 species